AGUUCAUUCCACGACGAUUGAGGACUUGCUAUGUACCAAAUGCUAAUCUAGUCACUUGUUAUAGCUGGACAACACAAGUUCCCUCUAUAAAUUCUGUCGUAACUAAAAAGAGUGACAUCCUGACGACUGCCAGUGUCCCUGGCGCUUUUCUAAGAGUAUGUGAUAACACCAGAGGGAAAGUGACUUUACAGCUGUUUUUAACAACGGCUUUAAUAUUUUCCUGUUCACUAAUUCAGAAGCCAAAUGUUUUUUUUUUUUAAUUUCACAACAUUUUAAAAAGGAAAAAUCAGCCAAGGACUCCCAAGACCACGUUUUCAGCUGAAAGGAGAUUUGCCCCAAACAAACUUGAAAGCUGUCGUCACAGUUCCAGAUGCAAUACAGACGCACACCUACUGUGUGGGUCAGUACAGCUGGCCAGUGGACUCUCAGUGGCUCUGGACCACCCAUCUCUCCAUCACUGCCCAACCUGGCGAUGGAUGCCUCUCCAAGUUUUAAGAUUUUAGGAAUGAAUACGGAGACCAAAAGCCACAGAAAUAAUAUAAUGCCCAAUUAUACAGAUUUAUAAAACUGCUAAACUGAAACUAUCUGUGUAUGCCAGUUUUAAAAAUUAGUUAAAAAGGUCAGACUUCAAAAAAAAAUUAAAACUAAAAAGGAAUUCUUAGUAAA